rnacentral:rRNA from 1 species
UACGGAGGGUGCAAGCGUUAUCCGGAUUCACUGGGUUUAAAGGGUGCGUAGGUGGGCAGGUAAGUCCGCUCUGAAAGCCCGGGGCUCAACCCCGGGAGGCGGGUGGAUACUGUCAAGCUCGAGUCCGGAAGAGGCGAGUGGAAUUCCUGGUGUAGCGGUGAAAUGCGCAGAUAUCAGGAGGAACACCAAUGGCGAAGGCAAUCCCCUGGACCUGUACUGACGCUCAUGCACGAAAGCGUGGGGAGCAAACAGG